UAAAAUAGGUUUAUGAGAUAUUAAGCUCAGUAAGUUGUUUUAUAUUUUAAUCUAUUAAGGAUAAGCUUAAUAGAAAAUAGGAAAAAUGUAGCAAUCAAAUAAAUUAUGUAGGCUUGAAGUUAGCUAUCAUAAUAAAACUUGUUAUAAAAUAAUUUGUAGAAUUGAAAAAAUCUUAAUACUUAUUUUCCUAAUAUUAUAGGGGUAAUAGAAAGAAUCAAUAAAUCUAAUUUAUGUAUGCUAAGAUGAGUAUUUUUAAAUUUUUAAGAAGGUAGAAUACUUAAAAAAUACCUAUAAUAAUAGUUAUUUUAUAAAAAAUAUGAAAUAGAAAAAAGGAACUCGGCAAAUAUUAGCUCCGCCUGUUUAUCAAAAACAUGGCUCUUUGUUAAGUUAAUAUAAAGAGUCGGACCUGCCCAGUGAAGAUUUUUAACGGCCGCGGUACCCUGACCGUGCAAAGGUAGCAUAAUCAUUUGCCUUAUAAUUGAAGGCUUGUAUGAAUGGUUUGACGAGAGCGUUGCUGUCUCUUUUCUAAUAUAUAAAAUUUAACUUUUAGGUGAAGAGGCCUAAAUAUAAUUGAAAGACAAGAAGACCCUAUCGAGCUUAAAAACUAAAUUAGGAAUAGUUAUAAACUUAAAUUUACUACUAACUUAUUUUUUGAUUGGGGCGAUCAAGGAACAAUAAAAGCUUCCUUUAAUUUAUCUUAACUUAUAAGUAUUGAUCCAGCUAAGACUGAUUAAAAGAAUUAGUUACCGUAGGGAUAACAGCAUAAUCUCUCUUGAGAGACCUAAUCGAAAGAGGGGGUUGUGACCUCGAUGUUGGACUAGAAUAUCCUAAAGGUGCAGAAAUCUUUAAGGGUUGGUCUGUCGACCA
rnacentral:rRNA from 1 species